UACUGAGAGGCGGGAGUGCUGGAAAGAGAACAAGGAGCACAGGUGCUGCAUGGCUGUCAUCAGCUCGUGUCAUGAGAUGUUGGAUUAAGUCCCGCAACGAGCGCAACCCUUGUCCUCAGUAGCUCAGCAAGAGCACUCUAAGAAGACUGCCGGUGACAAACCGGAGGAAGGUGGGGAUGACGUCAAGUCCUCAUGGCCCUUAUGGGUAGGGCUUCACCCGUCAUACACUGGUCGGAACAGAGGGUUGCCAACCCACGAGGGGGAGAUAAUCCCAGAAAACCGAUAGUAGUCCGGGUUGCACUCUGCAACUCGACUGCAUGAAGCUGGAAUCACUAGUAAUCGAUGAUCAUCAUUACGCGGUGAAUACUUCCCGCUUUUUACUACCCCCCUUCACUCCACGGAGGGGUUACCAGAAGGGCCAGCACUAGAAAGGAGGGAUCCAGCUAGUAUUUUGCCCCCCCAA
rnacentral:rRNA from 1 species